rnacentral:rRNA from 1 species
GACAGAGGGUGCAAACGUUGUUCGGAAUUACUGGGCGUAAAGCGCGUGUAGGCGGUUUGCCAAGUCGGGUGUGAAAGCCUUGGGCUUAACCCAAGAAAUGCACUCGGUACUGGCAGACUAGAGGACCGGAGAGGAUAGUGGAAUUCCCAGUGUAGUGGUGAAAUACGUAGAGAUUGGGAAGAACACCAGUGGCGAAGGCGGCUAUCUGGACGGUUUCUGACGCUAAGACGCGAAAGCGUGGGGAGCAAACAGG